GCUUGUCGGGCCCAUGCCCCGCUGGUUCUCUUUGUGCCGCGGACUUCAUGUCUGACGGGUCAUCUUCUCACACAUGUAUCUGUCCGAGAAGCAACCGGACCUGCUUGGCAAAUACACACUUCACUUGCUCAAACAAGCAAGCUACCCUGUCCUGUCCCAAAGAAGCAGUGUUGAAUAUCCAGUGGGCCCUUUAUGCCAGAUCAGCCAGGGAGCCAUGUGAUCACCCGGCAAGAAAAAUCUGCACAAAGCACUAUCCCAAGAGGCUAGAACUAGUACAGGCUUACUGUUAUGAUAGGUUAUGUUAGAAUGAAUCCGUAUUUUGUUAAUUGUAAUAAGCAAAUAGACAAAGUUAAGAUAUUUGCUCUAGCUAAAAGGGUUGUUCAAGGUUGAAAGCAUUCUUGAGGCAUUGAUAGUUUUUGUUGAUUUAGCUUGAAUAGGAAGUUGUUCGCUUAAUUAGCGACAUAAUGACAUUUAUCGGGUCGUACCAUGUUUUGGGUACUUAUCUGUCUUCAACUUCCCAUUAAGUUGGUAAACUUACAAGUCUCUGCUUAUAUAGUUUCCUUUAGAUGUCGUACGUUAAUUGUCGGUAUCAUUAUAGCACAACACGUAGGAUCGCCCACACUCAAGUAGGAGGUGCUUAGCUCUGCAGUGUUGGCAAUCUGAUUAACUAUGUUAAUCUAAGUCAGCAAACAUCACACCUACGCUACUUGAGCGACCAGUUCUUUCCCCUUCCGUUCAAUAACUUUCGAUUACAAGUUACAUAUUUUUUUCUCCCAAGUUACCUAAUGACCUUUCCUACCUACUCCCUUAGUUUCAUGGCAAAGGACAUUCAUUUUGUAUCCUUAAAUUCUUUUCAAAGCUUUCCUUUGUUAUCGCUAAUUUUGCCGAGAGUUAAUGAUAUCUGAUGUAACUGUUUACAUUGUCAAGUACCGUCCAAUGACCGCACUCUGCACACGUGGUCAGUGCUUGUCAAUCAAACGUACUACUUGUUUUACUACAAAUAGGACCGCAUUGUAAUUCCUCAUUACUCUUCAUUCCACUGACUCAGAAUAAAGGUACGACUCCGGUC